ensembl:lncRNA
AAAAGAGGUAGGAAGUGGCCUGUCCAGAGCUAAUUUGGUGGUAAACGCUGCUUUAGAACGCUCGUUUUCUUGAAGGAAACACUGUUCAGACAGAGACUUCUGUUCUGAAUACGGUAAUUAGAAACUUUUAGUCCAGCUCAUGGUGAACUGUUUAAUGUAGGUAUGCAGGUUAUUUUCUGCAGUUCAGUUAGGAUAUAGUGCAAAUGGGUCAGAAGCUUGGGUCAUAAGGCUAUGGCUUACCUACUGGUAGCUUCAGUGAUUACUGCAGAAGAAGGAGGAACCUGAUACUCAUCAGAAAGACCACAGAGAAGACUGAAAGGAGGUCAUUCCUCUCAUCUCCUCAGCCUGCUGGUGCAGAUUUCCAACGUGCCCACAUUAUGGGAGUUUCUGUUUGUAUCCCACAGUAUGUUUGGCCUGAAGACCAUUGUGGAAAUAUGAGAUGACUUUUUAGACCUUUCUUCUAGCCUGAAGAAAGACGUUCUACUUAGGAUUAUCUUGCAAUCCAAUAAAUAAUAGCAGCUGGUCAGAAACCUGGUCUGUGAACACUGUUGGGAACACUGUUGUGUUUGUUUAAUUAUUUGUAAUAAUUUUAUUUUUGCAGGGAUAUGCUAAGUCUUUUCAAGUGCAAAAGGGAAAGAUGAAAAAAAGAAAAAAAAAAAAGAAAGUUUUGAUUUGAAAGGCCAAGUACAGAUCUUUGUGCUGACUUUCAUAUACUCUAGGACCUGCCCUUCUCUUUUUAUGCAUGAUCACAUACGCUCCAAACAUCUAAGAAGCUUCUGUUGGUGUUGGGGGUUAAAAUUCCUAGGAUUAGAAGCAGAGGUUUUGGAGUCAAGGGCCCCCACCUCUGGAAUUAGUUUUCCUUGGUUUCCUGCCAGUGUCCAUCCAGUAAGCUUCAGAACACAUGGGGAAAUGUUUAUAUUUGGGUUAGCUUCUCUCUAUUUUUAGAUGGUUUGGUUUUGCUUUGAAUUUUACUCUACAGAUGUGAAGAUGGUAGAUUGGCUAUUGUUAUUUUCUAAGAGAAUGAUUUAGCACUACCCAUUACGAGAAGGCUCCCGUGUCCUUUAUCAGUAAUCUUGUAAGAACAUGCUGCAGCCUGUGAAUGAAUAUUUGCAUUCUUACUUCCACAUCAUCAUUUUCCAACAUGUGCUACCGGGAUUACGUUGAGCCGAGCUGGAAAAGCUCCCAAGCCCAGAAUGUUGUACCCUGUGCGUGUUGUUGGCCCUGUUGUUUGGAGGGAACAGGACUGCAUGGACUGACAGGGGUUGGGUGAUUUGCUACCUACAUGUGCUCCUGCUUCGCACUGCAAGCAUCAUCUUUGUCAUACAGCAGGAUGUUUAAAUCUUUGUACCCCAAAAUGUGGACGAUCUUUAAAUGAUUAUAAAUAAAUGAUUGUAAGUAGUAUUUGGUUAUAAA